GUAGCCUGGGAAGGGAGAACGAGGGGAAGAUUAGAAUUUCACUAGGGGACAGUGAGAGGCAAUCACGACUAACUGGUAACUGUUCCAUCACUGAGCCCAUUCCAGCUUGCCAGAGGCGGGGACACCUUGGACACUGGGAGGAGCUCCUCUGGAGUUCCCCCGAUUGCAGGAAUUCUCACCCACCCCCCAACAGCCAAUGCUCUUCAGAAACAUCCCUGAUGGCUUAGUUGUGUGAUGCAGGUGGGCCAGUGGGAAAGAAGGCAGCAGGGAAAUCUAGACAGACCACUCUGAUGCCCUCCAAGUAGCAGGGAGAGGUCCGAAGGAACUCGAGACCCACCCUCCCAUGGGUGGCCAGGAUGAACUAUAGACACUGCACCUGCAUUUCAAACCCCAAUGGAAUUCUUUGAGCAAAAGGCAGUGUGUGUAUGUGCCCUGCGCCUGUGCUCUCCCGAAUGCCCCUGCCCCUGCUUGGAUGUAUGCAUGUGUGGUGGCCUCAGGACCUGCUACAUCACUAAUAUGCAGUAAGAACCACUGCUUAGUUUUGGACACACAAUAUAAGGACCAAAAAGUUUCCUGGAAACAAAGGAAGAGCCCAGGAAUUAUUUUGUCUCAGUUGCCUCCCCCCAUCUGAAAACUUCUUACUAUUUCUUCCAGGCUUCUAAACAGUCACCCAUGUCCUGGAUAAUCCCAGCUUCUUUCCUUCUACAUUCUAGAUUGGCCAUUUACUUGCAUUGUAACACUGGGAAACCCACUUUGCUUAGAAACUGUCAACUGGGAAGAAAAAACCUUGACACUAAUCUUUUCUCAUUAUGAUCUCCUUUUUAAGAUAUAUAAAGAAUUGAAUCACUAAUCAUUAGAGAAAUGCAAAUUAAAAUGACUCUCAGGUGCCACUUCACACCUAUCAGAUUGAUUAACAUGACAGAAAAGGAAAAUUACAUUUGUUGGGGAUGUAGAAAAAUAGAGACACUAUUGCAUUGUUGGUGGAAUUGUAAACUGAUCCAACCUAUUUUGGAGAACAGCUGGAUCUAUGUCCCAAGGAUUAUAAAACUGUGCACACCCUUUAACUCAGCAAUGCCACUACUUGCUCUAUAUCCCCAAAGAGAUCAAAGAAAUUGAAAAGAACUUAAAUGUAUCAAAAUCUUUCUAGCAGCAAUUUUUGUGGUGGUAAAGAAUUGGAAAUUGAGGGAAUACCGUGCAUUUGGACAAUGACUGAAUAAGUUGUGGUAUAUGAUUGUAAUGGAAUUCUAUGGUGUUAUAAGAAAUGAUGAACAAGAUGAUUUCAGAAAAACCUGGAAAUACAUGAACUGAUGCAGAAUGCUGCCAAUGAGGUAUUUCAUAUUAUCCUCAAAUUUUUCAUUCUUUUAAUUUUGCUUUAUAGAUUCUUUCUGCCUUGCGAAGUCAUUUGCUUCUAGUUGUUGGAUUCUAGUUUUUAAAGACUGAAUUUCAUCCCUGGCUUUUUGAUCAUCCUUCUCCUUCUGGUCUGAUUUUCUUUGGAGGUCAUCUUUCAUCUUCUUUGCCUCAUUUUCAAGCUGGUUAAUUUUGGCUUUCUAGACACUAUUUUCUGUUUCCAAAGGAUAGGAAUAAGUGUUUUCAAUCAAAGAAAUCCAAGCUAUCGAUAGCCCCAUGAAAAGAUUCUUCAUAUCAUUAAUAAGAAGAGAAAUGCAGAAUAAAUCAGCUCAGAGGUUCCACUUCAUACUCAGACUAGCAAAGAUAACAAUUAAAAAAAUAAAAAUCAUAAAGCUUGGAGCUAUACUCUAAAAGUCAUAACUCAAUAAUUACAUUACUAGAUCUAUACUCCAAAGUGAGGGUUGGGAGAAUAUACAUUUAUUAAGCACCUACUAUGUAAUGAGGCAAGUCAUUUCACCUUUGUUUACCUCAAUUUCCUCAUCUGUGAAAUGGGGAUUGUAAUAGCACCUACCUCAGGGUUGUUGAGAAGAGCAAAUUAUAUAUUUGUAAAGUGCUUAGGAUAGUGCCUGGCAUGUUGUUGUUGUUCAGUAGUUCAGUUCUGUCCAAUUAUGCAUGACCCCAUACACCAUACUUUAUUUUUAAAAUUUAAUUUAAUUUAAAAAAUUUUUGAACUUAAAGUAAUUUAUUUAGUCAAUUUAGAACAUUAUUCCUUGGUUACAAGAAUUAUAUUAUUUCCCUUCCUACCCUCCCCCCUUCCCACAGCCGACACUCAAUUUCAUUGGGUAUUACAUGUGUCCUUGAUCAAAACCUACUUUCAUGUUGGUGUUUGCAUUAGGAUAUUCAUUUAGAGUCUACAUCCCCAACCAUAUCACCUUGACUCAUGUAUUGAAGCAGUUUUUCUUCUGUGUUUCUGCUCCCACAGUUUUUCCUCUGAAUGUGGAUAGUGCUGGAGUCUGAGGAUCAAAAACUAGAAAAAAUUAUAACAAAAUUCAUCUGAAAGGACAAAAGGUCAAGAAUAUCAAGGGAAUGACUUCUGGAGGUGAAGCCAAGAUGGCAGAGUAAUCCUCAGCAGCUCCACACCACCAUGAGAAUCCUCCCCAAUCAAAAUUAAAAUAUCACCACAGAACAAAUAGAGGAGUGAAAGAACAAACCAAGAGACAGAAUGAACAGCUUUCAAGAAAAGAAAAAACCCAAAAGGUAGGCAAUAAAAAUCUGGGCCACCAGGGUGAGAGCAGAGCAGACCCAAUAGACUAUAGCAAGGAGAGAAGAAUAAGUCAAGAGUAAACCACACCCCUCCACCCUACAUCUGCUGUCCAAUUAAGAGAGGCAGAGGAAAAGUGGGGAAAGGAAAUGAAAGUGAAGCAAAGAUAAAGGAAAAUGAUGCAAGGAAAAAGGAAAGUAAUGUAAAAAGAAAUGGGCCAAUUGAAAAAAGAGAACCAAAACCUGACAGAGGAAAAUCAUGCCUUAAAAAUCAGAAUUGACUAUCUAGAAACUAAUGAUUUAAUAAGAAA